UACGAAGGGGGCUAGCGUUGUUCGGAAUUACUGGGCGUAAAGCGCACGUAGGCGGAUUGUUAAGUGAGGGGUGAAAUCCCAGGGCUCAACCCUGGAACUGCCUCUCAUACUGGCAAUCUCGAGUUCGAGAGAGGUGAGUGGAAUUGCGAGUGUAGAGGUGAAAUUCGUAGAUAUUCGCAGGAACACCAGUGGCGAAGGCGGCUCACUGGCUCGAUACUGACGCUGGAGGUGCGAAAGCGUGGGGAGCAAACAGG
rnacentral:rRNA from 1 species